rfam:Felis catus isolate Cinnamon breed Abyssinian chromosome A1, whole genome shotgun sequence.
GCCUGGGUGGCUCAAUCGGUUGGGCGUCUGACUUCAGCUCAGGUCAUGAUCUCACGGUUCGUGAGUUCGAGCCCCGCGUCGGGCU